rnacentral:rRNA from 1 species
UACGUAGGUGACAAGCGUUGUCCGGAUUUACUGGGCGUAAAGAGCGCGCAGGCGGUCGAUCAAGUCGAGUGUGAAAGCCCCCGGCUCAACUGGGGAGGGUCAUUCGAUACUGAUCGACUCGAAGGCAGGAGAGGGUAGUGGAAUUCCCGGUGUAGUGGUGAAAUGCGUAGAUAUCUGCAGGAACACCCGUGGCGAAAGCGGCGCGCUGGACCACUACUGACGCUGAGGAACGAAAGCUAGGGGAGCAAACAGG